UAGGGAAUCUUCGGCAAUGGACGAAAGCCUGACCGAGCAACGCCGCGUGAGUGAAGAAGGUUUGCGGAUCGUAAAACUCUGUUGUUAGAGAAGAACAAGGACGUUAGUAACUGAACGUCCCCUGACGGUAUCUAACCAGAAAGCCACGGCUAACUACGUGCCAGCAGCCGCGGUAAUACGUAGGUGGCAAGCGUUGUCCGGAUUUAUUGGGCGUAAAGCGAGCGCAGGCGGUUUCUUAAGUCUGAUGUGAAAGCCCCCGGCUCAACCGGGGAGGGUCAUUGGAGACUGGGAGACUUGAGUGCAGAAGAGGUGAGUGGAAUUCCAUGUGUAGCGGUGAAAUGCGUAGAUAUAUGGAGGAACACCAGUGGCGAAGGCGGCUCUCUGGUCUGUAACGGACGCUGAGGCUCGAAAGCGUGGGGAGCAAACAGG
rnacentral:rRNA from 1 species